rnacentral:rRNA from 1 species
AGUGAACGCUGGCGGUAGGCCUAACACAUGCAAGUCGAACGGCAGCACAGUAAGAGCUUGCUCUUACGGGUGGCGAGUGGCGGACGGGUGAGGAAUACAUCGGAAUCUACUUUUUCGUGGGGGAUAACGUAGGGAAACUUACGCUAAUACCGCAUACGACCUACGGGUGAAAGCAGGGGAUCUUCGGACCUUGCGCGAUUGAAUGAGCCGAUGUCGGAUUAGCUAGUUGGCGGGGUAAAGGCCCACCAAGGCGACGAUCCGUAGCUGGUCUGAGAGGAUGAUCAGCAACACUGGAAGUGAGACACGGUCCAGACUCCUAAGGGAGGCAGCCGGGGGGAAUAUUGGACAAUGGGCGCAAGCCUGAUCCAGCCAUACCGCGUGGGUGAAGAAGGCCUUCGGGUUGUAAAGCCCUUUUGUUGGGAAAGAAAAGCAGCAGGUUAAUACCCCGCUGUUCUGACGGUACCCAAAGAAUAAGCACCGGCUAACUUCGUG